GGUUAUGUGGCGCAGUGGUAGCGCGUUCGCUUUUGUAGCGGGAAAUUUUGGGUUUAAUUCCCGGUGCGACUU
rfam:Gaeumannomyces graminis var. tritici R3-111a-1 unplaced genomic scaffold supercont2.3, whole genome shotgun sequence.